AAGGCAGGUUUCAGCGCGUGGGCACAAGAGAAGCGACGUCAAUUCAGCAGAAAAUUCAAACUUAUUGUUUGUUUUGUCUCAAUUGUAUGUUCAUGUGAAGGAAUUAUUUAUUCACCUGUCUUUUGAACUUGCGGGGAUGGUAUUCCCAUGAGACAGCUGCUCUUGUCCUUCUAGAUGGGAGUGGCCGUGGGUUUGGAAGGUGCUGUCUGAGGGUCUUUGCAUCUUUGUCUAAUUUGGAAGCAGUCCAUCUAAAGCUGAGAGGAUUUCUAGUAGUUGAUAUGGAUUCAGCACGUUCAAAUUUAAGGUUAGGAUGACUGACAACCUUGAACAUUUUCAGCUGAUCAGAGUGAGCAUGGAUACAUAAAGUUUUAUUCCAGUGUCUAUGUAAACACGCAGACAGAAACAACAACCAUAUGAAAGGACACAUUACCUCAUCACAAAAUACUCUGCUUU